rnacentral:ribozyme from 13 species
GAAGAAGAAGAAGAACUCGAAAAAGAAGACAUUUUUGUUGUUGUUUUGGGUUUUUUUUUCUCCAAUUAUUUUGUUUUCACCAAAUAAAAAAUAAAAAAUCUUCUUUCAAAAAAAACACACAAACAAAAAGAAGUUGGCAAUUACUUUUUCUUUCUUGUUGUUUUUGAAAAAGAAAAAGAAAUAAAAAG